CGAGCACGCGCGUGUGGCAUAUCAAUAAGCGGAGGAAAAGAAACUAACAAGGAUUCCCUUAGUAACGGCGAGUGAAGCGGGAAGAGCUCAAAUUUGAAAUCUUCAAGGUUCUACCUUGACGAAUUGUAGUUUAUAGAAGUGUUUUCUGUUAGUAGAGUGGCAAAAGUUCUUUGGAAUAGGACAUCAUAGAGGGUGAGAAUCCCGUAUUUGGUCAUUCCUCCUAGCGUUGUGAUACACUUUCAACGAGUCGGAUUGUUUGGGAAUGCAGUCCAAAAUGGGUGGUAAAUUUCAUCUAAAGCUAAAUAUUGGCGAGAGACCGAUAGCGAACAAGUACCGUGAGGGAAAGAUGAAAAGAACUUUGAAAAGAGAGUUAAACAGUACGUGAAAUUGUCAAAAGGGAAGCGUUUGACACCAGUGUUGUUUUUCCGAAAAUCAAUUACGAAUGUUUUAUUUUUGAGGAGUUAUGACUUCAUCGGCUUGCUCCUUUCUUUAUGAAACUUUCUUAAUGCACUUUUCGGUUAACAAGUCAACAUCAAUUUCUUUUGUUGUAAAAGGGUAUGAGGAAGGUGGCUUUCUUUUCGGAGAAAGUGUUUAUAGCCUUGUGCCUCUGCAAUCGGAGAGAUUGAGGUCUGCAGCGUAGAUCCUUCGGGGUUAGAUACAGUUUGUGCUAAGUUAUAGCUUUUCAUAGACAACUUGUUGACUAUGUUUAGUCUUGUAGCUUACUCGCUGACGCUAUUUACCUACGCUUAGGAUGUUGAGCGCAUGUCUCUCCU
rnacentral:rRNA from 1 species